GUGAAGGAACAUGGCUCUGAAUCAUGCCUGUCUGUCUCCCCAGGUCUGUGCUUAAAACCACGAAGUUCAAGAUGGAAACUGAAGGGAAGAGUGUCAAGGGGAUGGGAGAGAGGACUUGUCCAUGACUUUGGCAGCAUAAGGAAAAAAUACCCAGGGACAAGUGGCGACUUUGGAAACUCCAUUCCUCUGCAAAAUGACAUCACGAGGAGAGUGGUGGGGCCUGGGGGUGAAAAGAUCUGGCUUCUCCUCCCAACUCUGCUAUGAGGAAGCGCUGGAUGGCCCUGUCGGCCGCGGUCAUCGCCGCCUCGGCCCGGGAGCUCAGCAUUGCAGCCGCACCGGAGGCCUGAAACCGUCUCCUCCGC
rnacentral:lncRNA from 1 species